AUUGAACGCUGGCGGCAGGCCUAACACAUGCAAGUCGAGCGGAUGAAGGGAGCUUGCUCCUGGAUUCAGCGGCGGACGGGUGAGUAAUGCCUAGGAAUCUGCCUGGUAGUGGGGGAUAACGUCCGGAAACGGGCGCUAAUACCGCAUACGUCCUGAGGGAGAAAGUGGGGGAUCUUCGGACCUCACGCUAUCAGAUUAGCCUAGGUCGGAUUAGCUAGUUGGUGGGGUAAAGGCUUACCAAGGCGACGAUCCGUAACUGGUCUGAGAGGAUGAUCAGUCACACUGUAACUGAGACACGGUCCAGACUCCUACGGGUGGCAGCAGUGGGGAAUAGUGCACAAGGGGCGCAAGGCUGAUGCAGCCAUGCCGCGUGGAUGAAGAAGGCCUUAGUGUUGUAAAGUACUUUCAGCGGGGAGGAAGGGAGUAAAGUUAAUACCUUUACGCAUUGACGUUACCCGCAGAAGGAGCACCGGCUAACUCCGUG
rnacentral:rRNA from 1 species